UGUCCAUCAACAGAGAUGGAUGUCAGUGAAUAUUUUUUAGUUCAAAAAACUUUUUGUAGGCACGGUGGACAUAACUUUCUCUUUUGCUCAUCCUGUUCUUGUCUGCCUGCCGACGUUUCCGAAUCUCACGUUGCGAGUGCCGAUUCGUCGCACAUUGCACGCCAGAUCACAUCGGAUCCCACUGGCUCCGCCUAUUUCAGUCGAGUGGGCAAUUGCCGUGAAGCUCCCAGACAGCAUCUUGUGAAUGGAAAACUUUUGCGAUCCAAAGCCGGAAGGUGCCCUUACCUGCCCCUUUUCUGUCGCUGUGUUAAUAAGCAAUUCAGAAUAGAGGACGGUGAGAGCGAGCAGAGAAGCAAAGGCCGUCGUCCUCACUCGGUUGACAUCGGAGGUGGAGCUACAGCUUGAAAUAAGGAGGUCGGACGGAGAUGAGAGACGGCAGAGAUCCCUUCAGACCGCCAGCAACCGGUGGUGGCGAAAACAAGAAGGCGGUGAUGGCCGGGAGAGGCGUCAUAAUAAGGGCAGCCUUCUUCCUCUUCCUCUUCCUCUUCUUCUCCCCAAGACCUUGCUUCUGUUUAUCAGCAGGGCCUGCUGCUGGCCCUUCAUCAUUCUCCGCAGAUCAAAUGCAUUGAUUCUGUUGGGGCAUCUGGCAAUAGAAACACCGACCCAUUAAUGCACUAUUCUGUAAAUUUACCUUUAUGUUUGGGAUAAAUUGAUGAAAAGCUAAGUUAAAUUCUUAUUGUCAAACACCUCCUAUGACUAUUUAAUUUUAAUACUCAUAGAACCUUGCUUUUGAUUUUGACAAAAUUAUAUUGACUUGUUGGUUUUUGAUAUUUUCUUUUCUGGUGCAAAUCUGUUGGGAGGUAGAAAUCUUUUCCCGUUUUAAUUAUUACCAAAACAUAGGGGGAGGUGCAAGGAAACCGAUAAUUUCAUUUCCUUUGUGCAAAUAAGUUUUAACUUUUAGUAGUUUUUAAAAAUAAAACACCCAUAUUCAUGAAACAUAAGAAUAUUCACACAACUCACAAACUCACAAGGGAGGAGGCAUAUUUCAUGCCUUUCCCUGUUAACCUGAGUAUAUUAUAUCCUCCUUUGCAAAAGUAUGUUUUCUAUAUGUAUAAAAAAAUGGUUUGAGCAUGUUUUCGUGGUACACUAAAAAAUUGGGUUUUUUUUUUCCUAAUUCAUGUUCUACUCCUUCUGUUCGGCAAGUUGGAAGAAAAAUGUUCUCUUCAAACCUUUUCAUACAAUUUAUAGGAACUGAUUGAUCCUUAUGUGAUUACCACACUUUAUAUCUAUAGAUUCCUAAUUACCAGGAAAAACGGUUUUCUUUUCUAAAAUUUGGUUUUCCAACGCACUGCCUCCUGAAGCCAAAGGGGCAUUUUUGUCAUUUCAUAGGAAGGCUAAAUGAUGCAUGUCAAGAUUUAACUAUUUAAAUGAAAUUAAAAUUUUUAUUUUCAAAUUGUUUCCUUAUAG